GCAAGUUGAGCGCCCGUUUUCGGACGGGAGCAGCGCACGGGUGAGUAACGCGUGGGAACAUGCCCUAAAGUACGGAAUAGCCUGGGGAAACCUAGAUUAAUACCGUAUACGCCCUACGGGGGAAAGAUUUAUCGCUUUGGGAUUGGCCCGCGUUGGAUUAGCUAGUUGGUGAGGUAACGGCUCACCAAGGCGACGAUCCAUAGCUGGUCUGAGAGGAUGAUC
rnacentral:rRNA from 1 species